UUGAGUAACUGGUUUCCGAGGAGAACAUAUAUCCUGAAUCAGUUCCUGGACAUUUGUUUGAGGUCUUGUAAGGGAAACUGAAGGGAAUUGUGUAUUGAACAGGAUGGCUUAGACCUGCUCAACUUCUGAGAAUUGAGCAAAGUGGGCAAUCCAGAUGUAUCACUUGACUUUCUGACUGCUGGAAGAAUUUCCCUUCAUUAUUGCACACCAGGGAUAUCCCACAG
rnacentral:lncRNA from 1 species